UAUUACAGCCAUACCACCCUAAAUAUACCUGGUCUCAUCUGAUCUUGGAAGCCAAGCAGAGUUGGGCCUGGUUAGAACCUGGGGGGGCUCACCAGAUAGCUCAGCGGAUUAAAGU
rnacentral:rRNA from 1 species